rnacentral:rRNA from 1 species
GAGUUUGAUCCUGGCUCAGGACGAACGCUGGCGGUAUGCUUAACACAUGCAAGUCGAACGAGAAGGAAGAGCUUGCUCUUCCUGAAAGUGGCGAACGGGUGAGUAACGCGUGGGUAACCUACCCUUUGGAAAGGAAUAGCCUCGGGAAACUGGGAGUAAUGCCUUAUAAGAUACGUUUGUCGCAUGGCAUUUGUAUUAAACGCUCCGGCGCCAUAGGAUGGACCCGCGUCCCAUUAGCUAGUUGGUGAGAUAACAGCUCACCAAGGCCACGAUGGGUAACCGGUCUGAGAGGGCGAACGGUCACACUGGAACUGAGACACGGUCCAGACUCCUACGGGAGGCAGCAGUGGGGAAUAUUGCGCAAUGGGGGCAACCCUGACGCAGCAAUACCGCGUGAGUGAAGAAGGUUUUCGGAUCGUAAAGCUCUGUUAUUGGGGAAGAAAAAAAGACGGUACCCAAGAAGAAAGUUCCGGCUAACUACGUGCCAGCAGCCGCGGUAAUACGUAGGGAACAAGCGUUGUCCGGAUUUACUGGGCGUAAAGGGCACGCAGGCGGUUUUUUAAGUCAGAUGUGAAAGGCCACAGCUCAACUGUGGACAUGCAUUUGAAACUGAAAGACUUGAGUAUUGGAGAGGCAAGUGGAAUUCCUAGUGUAGCGGUGAAAUGCGUAGAUAUUAGGAGGAACACCGGUGGCGAAGGCGAGUUUGAUCCUGGCUCAGGACGAACGCUGGCGGUAUGCUUAACACAUGCAAGUCGAACGAGAAGGAAGAGCUUGCUCUUCCUGAAAGUGGCGAACGGGUGAGUAACGCGUGGGUAACCUACCCUUUGGAAAGGAAUAGCCUCGGGAAACUGGGAGUAAUGCCUUAUAAGAUACGUUUGUCGCAUGGCAUUUGUAUUAAACGCUCCGGCGCCAUAGGAUGGACCCGCGUCCCAUUAGCUAGUUGGUGAGAUAACAGCUCACCAAGGCCACGAUGGGUAACCGGUCUGAGAGGGCGAACGGUCACACUGGAACUGAGACACGGUCCAGACUCCUACGGGAGGCAGCAGUGGGGAAUAUUGCGCAAUGGGGGCAACCCUGACGCAGCAAUACCGCGUGAGUGAAGAAGGUUUUCGGAUCGUAAAGCUCUGUUAUUGGGGAAGAAAAAAAGACGGUACCCAAGAAGAAAGUUCCGGCUAACUACGUGCCAGCAGCCGCGGUAAUACGUAGGGAACAAGCGUUGUCCGGAUUUACUGGGCGUAAAGGGCACGCAGGCGGUUUUUUAAGUCAGAUGUGAAAGGCCACAGCUCAACUGUGGACAUGCAUUUGAAACUGAAAGACUUGAGUAUUGGAGAGGCAAGUGGAAUUCCUAGUGUAGCGGUGAAAUGCGUAGAUAUUAGGAGGAACACCGGUGGCGAAGGC